UGGUUCGGCGCCGACAGCGAUCAACGAUUCGAAAGGGAAGGGUUUUCUUAUUCUCUUCUCUUUGCUUUGAUCUAGGUAUGUUCGGAUUCCCCCCUCCCUCUCUCUCUCUCUCUCCCAUGGUUCUGCGAUAGCAGAAGGGCUGGGAAGGGGUAGUUGGAUCGUCGAGUGGAGGAUAGGCGAGGAGAUUACUGAGUUUGGUCCUGGAGGAUGGUUACCAAUGGGGUUAUAGAUGCAGUGUCGAAGCAGAGGCUAUUACAUCCUUGACAUCCUAUGGUGAUUACGUUCUAAAAUAUAUCUCCUUUGCAUCCUUCCAUAUCUCAUUGCUUCUCUGGUGCAGCGAUUCCUUUGAAUAAGCAGUUGUACACUUUCAGCUAUGUCUGUGUAACAUCAGGAGCAACAGCAUUGGUGUUCUCAGCCUUCUAUACUCUGGUUGAUAUUUGGAAUUUGAAGUAUCUGUUUCUGCCAUUGGAAUGGAUUGGCAUGAAUGCUAUGCUUGUCUAUGUUAUGGCAACUGAAGGCAUCUUUGCAGCAUUCAUUAAUGGGUGGUAUUAUAGUGAGCCCCAUAAUACACUGGUUUUGGUUGUAGGUGGUGGUGAAGGUGGAGUUCUUAGGGAAAUCUCUCGCGACAAUACCAAGGAGCUCAUUGAUAUUUGUGCGAUUGGUAAGAUGGUUAUAGAUGUAUGUGGUGAAUGAUGUACCCAUUCAUGUGAUUAUAUAUUAUUUGUGUUCUUUGUUAUGUAACAAGUAUGUUGCUGCAACUUCUUGCUUAUAGGUUAGUAAAAAGUUUUUUUUUUCCAGAGUUAGCUAUUGGCUUUGAGGAUCCUCAUGUGCAACUACAUAUUG